GCACCCAUAGCUCAGUUGGAUAGAGCUACAGACUUCGAAUCUGGAGGUCGCGGGUUCAAUUCCUGCUGGGUGCGCCA
rnacentral:tRNA from 1 species